rnacentral:rRNA from 1 species
AGUGAACGCUGGCGGUAGGCCCAACACAUGCAAGUCGAACGGCAGCACAGGAGAGCUUGCUCUCUGGGUGGCGAGUGGCGGACGGGUGAGGAAUACAUCGGAAUCUACCUUUUCGUGGGGGAUAACGUAGGGAAACUUACGCUAAUACCGCAUACGACCUACGGGGGAAAGUGGGGGACCGCAAGGCCUCACGCGAUUAGAUGAGCCGAUGUGCGAUUAGCUAGUUGGCGGGGUAAUGGCCCACCAAGGCGACGAUCGGUAGCUGGUCUGGAAGCAUGAUCAGCCACACUGGAACUGAGACACGGUCCAGACUCCUACGGGAGGCAGCAGUGGGGAAUAUUGGACAAUGGGCGCAAGCCUGAUCCAGCCAUACCGCGUGGGUGAAGAAGGCCUUCGGGUUGUAAAGCCCUUUUGUUGGGAAAGAAAUCCUGUCGAUUAAUACUCGGUGGGGAUGACGGUACCCAAAGAAUAAGCACCGGCUAACUUCUUGCCAGCAGCCGCGGUAAAAC